GAAGUGUUGGUGCUAUCUGUGGUCGAAUGCUUGAAGUCUGGAGCAGAGUAGGAUCUCCUGUAGCAUCCUCCGGUCCCGUGCUGUUGAGAAUAAUCUCUUCCAGAGUCUGUAGCUACUGUCACUGGCAACACACCGGAACUCGAUGGUUCAAGAUGACCUCACAUGAAAAGCAAUGGGUACCGGCUUUUGGCUCAGCUUCUCUUUCCACGCGGUGGUCACGCGAGAAUCAAUGCGGAGGCACCCAGUUCCCAACAGAGAACCAGCGAUCACCAAGUUUGCAGUCAAGAGCAACUGCUUCGCAGGGGGGUGCUUUUCUCAAAAGUCAGCAGCGAAAUGGCAGAUUUUUGAGCACGGUUCACUGAUGUUCAAGGGUUUCUUCCUCAGAUGAGCAGAGCUAUUCUGGCAUUUGGGAUUGCUGGUUUUUUGUUUGUUUGUUUUGUUUUGGUUAGGAGCAUGCAUGGGAAAGGCAAGGGGAUUUAAAAUUCAACAGCGGAUUGCUAUGGGGUGUGGGGGGGUGUUAGUGGGGGAUGAGGCUUUGAUUGCCAGGCUAAGGGUCCAAAGAAAGAAAUAAAGAAAACCUGAAACAACA